CGUCCCGCCGGCGACCGGCGCACGGGUGAGUAACACGUAUGCAACCUGGCCGCCACAGGGGGAUAACCCGCGGAAACGCGGCCUAAUACCCCGUGACGCCACCGGAGGGCAUCCUCCGGUGGCCAAAGGAGCGAUCCGGUGGCGGAUGGGCAUGCGGCGCAUUAGCUAGACGGCGGGGUGACGGCCCACCGUGGCGACGAUGCGUAGGGGUUCUGAGAGGAAGGCCCCCCACACUGGGACUGAGACACGGCCCAGACUCCUACGGGAGGCAGCAG
rnacentral:rRNA from 1 species